GACGAACGCUGGCGGCGUGCUUAACACAUGCAAGUCGAACGAAAAGAGGGAAAGAGCUUGCUCUUUCCGGAAUUGAGUGGCAAACGGGUGAGUAACACGUAAACAACCUGCCUUCAGGAUGGGGACAACAGACGGAAACGACUGCUAAUACCGAAUAAGUUCCAAGAGCCGCAUGGCCCAUGGAAGAAAAGGUGGCCUCUACCUGUAAGCUAUCGCCUGAAGAGGGGUUUGCGUCUGAUUAGCUGGUUGGAGGGGUAACGGCCCACCAAGGCGACGAUCAGUAGCCGGUCGGAGAGGAUGAGCAGCCACACUGGAACUGAGACACGGCCCAGACUCCUACAGGAGGCAGCAGUGGGGAAUCUUCCGCAAUGGGCGAAAGCCUGACGGAGAAACGCCGCGUGAGGGAUGACGGCCUUCGGGUUGUAAAACUCUGUGAUCCGGGACGAAAAGGCAGAGUGCGAAGAACAAACUGCAUUGACGGUACCGGAAAAGCAAGCCACGGCUAACUACGUG
rnacentral:rRNA from 1 species